CACCGAUUUUCUUCUCCUUCACCAGUCUGUUACUCUGUUUCUUCAUGGAGCCGCCGCGUGAAACUGAUGGGAGAGACGACAGACGAAAACCCUAAGUAAUAUUUACUAUGGCUGGGCUUUAAACUUGAAAUUAUAAACAAACAACAAUCGAAAGCCCAACCCAUUUAUUAUAAUUAUUUUCUAAACCCAUUAAAACAAACUCACAUUAAAAAUUAAUAAAAUACAAUCCAAUAACUUAUAAAACACAAAGCCCAGCCCAGUUCUUUAGCAUAAAAAACCUAGAUCUAUCGUUGAUAUCUUUGCAGCCGCUUCUCCUUACAUAAAAUAAAACCCUAGAUCUUAGCGUCUCCUCUUCCAUUUGUAGCCGUUUUUUCUUCUGCCUCUCCUAGAAUAAGAUACGGCUUUGCAUCAGUGGGGAUCCUUCAAUUUUGAGAGCGUCGACUAGUCUUUAAAGGAGCCUCGCGAAUUCAUUCUGUUAGUGUAUUUCACCGUCGUCGUGUCGUUACCGUCAUCGUGUUGUCACCGUCGAGAAGCUUACAUUUACUCGAAAAGCCAAAUUUUUAAUGUAUUUGGGCCUGUUGUAAAGAUGUAAAUUUGCUAUUGGACUUGUAAUAUAUUAUAGGUUUGUUAUUUAGUUGUAAAUAUGUUAAUUGGCAUGUUUUUUUUUGG